rnacentral:rRNA from 1 species
GACGAACGCUGGCGGCGUGCUUAACACAUGCAAGUCGAACGGAAAGGCCCUGCUUUUGUGGGGUGCUCGAGUGGCGAGCGGGUGAGUAACACGUGAGUAACCUGCCCCUGACUUUGGGAUAACUUCAGGAAACUGGGGCUAAUACCGGAUAGGAGCUCCUGCUGCAUGGUGGGGGUUGGAAAGUUUCGGCGGUUGGGGAUGGACUCGCGGCUUAUCAGCUUGUUGGUGGGGUAGUGGCUUACCAAGGCUUUGACGGGUAGCCGGCCUGAGAGGGUGACCGGCCACAUUGGGACUGAGAUACGGCCCAGACUCCUACGGGAGGCAGCAGUGGGGAAUAUUGCACAAUGGGCGGAAGCCUGAUGCAGCAACGCCGCGUGCGGGAUGACGGCCUUCGGGUUGUAAACCGCUUUCGCCUGUGACGAAGCGUGAGUGACGGUAAUGGGUAAAGAAGCACCGGCUAACUACGUG